rnacentral:rRNA from 1 species
GGGUUGUGAGGUUAAGCGACUAAGCGUACACGGUGGAUGCCCUGGCAGUCAGAGGCGAUGAAGGGCGUGCUAAUCUGCGAUAAGCGCCGGUAAGGUGAUAUGAACCGUUAUAACCGGCGAUACCCGAAUGGGGAAACCCAGUGUGACUCGUCACACUAUCAUUAACUGAAUCCAUAGGUUAAUGAGGCGAACCGGGGGAACUGAAACAUCUAAGUACCCCGAGGAAAAGAAAUCAACCGAGAUUCCCCCAGUAGCGGCGAGCGAACGGGGAGGAGCCCAGAGCCUGAAUCAGCAUGUGUGUUAGUGGAAGCGUCUGGAAAGGCGCGCGAUACAGGGUGACAGCCCCGUACACAAAAGCGCAUGUGCUGUGAGCUCGAUGAGUAGGGCGGGACACGUGGUAUCCUGUCUGAAUAUGGGGGGACCAUCCUCCAAGGCUAAAUACUCCUGACUGACCGAUAGUGAACCAGUACCGUGAGGGAAAGGCGAAAAGAACCCCGGCGAGGGGAGUGAAAAAGAACCUGAAACCGUGUACGUACAAGCAGUGGGAGCCCCACCACCAAAGCAUUCUCUGGUGUUGAAGGCCCUGCAAAGCAGCAUCGCGGUGGCGGAGCGUCGUUUGCGACGCCCAACACACAAAACAAGCGGUGAAUGCUUUGGGGUGGGGUGACUGCGUACCUUUUGUAUAAUGGGUCAGCGACUUAUAUUCUGUAGCAAGGUUAACCGAAUAGGGGAGCCGGAGGGAAACCGAGUCUUAAUUGGGCGUUAAGUUGCAGGGUAUAGACCCGAAACCCGGUGAUCUAGCCAUGGGCAGGUUGAAGGUUGGGUAACACUAACUGGAGGACCGAACCGACUAAUGUUGAAAAAUUAGCGGAUGACCUGUGGCUGGGGGUGAAAGGCCAAUCAAACCGGGAGAUAGCUGGUUCUCCCCGAAAGCUAUUUAGGUAGCGCCUCGUGAAUUCAUCUCCGGGGGUAGAGCACUGUUUCGGCUAGGGGGCCAUCCCGGCUUACCAACCCGAUGCAAACUGCGAAUACCGGAGAAUGUUAUCACGGGAGACACACGGCGGGUGCUAACGUCCGUCGUGAAGAGGGAAACAACCCAGACCGCCAGCUAAGGUCCCAAAGUCAUGGUUAAGUGGGAAACGAUGUGGGAAGGCCCAGACAGCCAGGAUGUUGGCUUAGAAGCAGCCAUCAUUUAAAGAAAGCGUAAUAGCUCACUGGUCGAGUCGGCCUGCGCGGAAGAUGUAACGGGGCUAAACCAUGCACCGAAGCUGCGGCAGCGAACGUAUCACCCAAGACAACUUUACGGAGUUGACGAUUGACGGAGCGAAGCGACGUCAAAGCGUUCAUUAAAGUCGAGUUGGCUUAGGGAUACGUUCGUUGGGUAGGGGAGCGUUCUGUAAGCCUGUGAAGGUGUGUCGUGAGGCAUGCUGGAGGUAUCAGAAGUGCGAAUGCUGACAUAAGUAACGAUAAAGCGGGUGAAAAGCCCGCUCGCCGGAAGACCAAGGGUUCCUGUCCAACGUUAAUCGGGGCAGGGUGAGUCGACCCCUAAGGCGAGGCCGAAAGGCGUAGUCGAUGGGAAACGGGUUAAUAUUCCCGUACUUGGUGUUACUGCGAAGGGGGGACGGAGAAGGCUAUGUUGGCCGGGCGACGGUUGUCCCGGUUUAAGCGUGUAGGUGUGUGUUCCAGGUAAAUCCGGUUCACUUUAACACUGAGGCGUGACGACGAGGCACUACGGUGCUGAAGCAACAAAUGCCCUGCUUCCAGGAAAAGCCUCUAAGCAUCAGGUAACAUCAAAUCGUACCCCAAACCGACACAGGUGGUCAGGUAGAGAAUACCAAGGCGCUUGAGAGAACUCGGGUGAAGGAACUAGGCAAAAUGGUGCCGUAACUUCGGGAGAAGGCACGCUGACACGUAGGUGAAGUGAUUUACUCAUGGAGCUGAAGUCAGUCGAAGAUACCAGCUGGCUGCAACUGUUUAUUAAAAACACAGCACUGUGCAAACACGAAAGUGGACGUAUACGGUGUGACGCCUGCCCGGUGCCGGAAGGUUAAUUGAUGGGGUCAGCGCAAGCGAAGCUCCUGAUCGAAGCCCCGGUAAACGGCGGCCGUAACUAUAACGGUCCUAAGGUAGCGAAAUUCCUUGUCGGGUAAGUUCCGACCUGCACGAAUGGCGUAAUGAUGGCCAGGCUGUCUCCACCCGAGACUCAGUGAAAUUGAACUCGCUGUGAAGAUGCAGUGUACCCGCGGCAAGACGGAAAGACCCCGUGAACCUUUACUAUAGCUUGACACUGAACAUUGAGCCUUGAUGUGUAGGAUAGGUGGGAGGCUUUGAAGUGUGGACGCCAGUCUGCAUGGAGCCGACCUUGAAAUACCACCCUUUAAUGUUUGAUGUUCUAACGUGGACCCGUAAUCCGGGUUGCGGACAGUGUCUGGUGGGUAGUUUGACUGGGGCGGUCUCCUCCUAAAGAGUAACGGAGGAGCACGAAGGUUGGCUAAUCCUGGUCGGACAUCAGGAGGUUAGUGCAAUGGCAUAAGCCAGCUUGACUGCGAGCGUGACGGCGCGAGCAGGUGCGAAAGCAGGUCAUAGUGAUCCGGUGGUUCUGAAUGGAAGGGCCAUCGCUCAACGGAUAAAAGGUACUCCGGGGAUAACAGGCUGAUACCGCCCAAGAGUUCAUAUCGACGGCGGUGUUUGGCACCUCGAUGUCGGCUCAUCACAUCCUGGGGCUGAAGUAGGUCCCAAGGGUAUGGCUGUUCGCCAUUUAAAGUGGUACGCGAGCUGGGUUUAGAACGUCGUGAGACAGUUCGGUCCCUAUCUGCCGUGGGCGCUGGAGAACUGAGGGGGGCUGCUCCUAGUACGAGAGGACCGGAGUGGACGCAUCACUGGUGUUCGGGUUGUCAUGCCAAUGGCACUGCCCGGUAGCUAAAUGCGGAAGAGAUAAGUGCUGAAAGCAUCUAAGCACGAAACUUGCCCCGA